ensembl:snRNA U6 U6 spliceosomal RNA
GUUCUCACUUCAGCAGAGCAUAUUCUAAAAUUGGAACAAUAUAAAGAAGAUUAGGAUGGCAUGCCAAUUCAUGAAGUGUUCCAUAUUUAA